CCUACGGGGGCUGCAGUGGGGAAUAUUGGACAAUGGGCGAAAGCCUGAUCCAGCCAUGCCGCGUGUGUGAAGAAGGCCUUCGGGUUGUAAAGCACUUUCAGUGGGGAAGAAAGCCUUGGGGCUAAUACCCUCGAGGAAGGACAUCACCCACAGAAGAAGCACCGGCUAACUCCGUGCCAGCAGCCGCGGUAAUACGGAGGGUGCGAGCGUUAAUCGGAAUUACUGGGCGUAAAGCGCGCGUAGGCGGUCUGAUAAGCCGGUUGUGAAAGCCCCGGGCUCAACCUGGGAACGGCAUCCGGAACUGUCAGGCUAGAGGGCAGGAGAGGAAGGUAGAAUUCCCGGUGUAGCGGUGAAAUGCGUAGAGAUCGGGAGGAAUACCAGUGGCGAAGGCGGCCUUCUGGACUGACACUGACGCUGAGGUGCGAAAGCGUGGGUAGCAAACAGGAUUAGAUACCCUUGUAGUC
rnacentral:rRNA from 1 species